rnacentral:lncRNA from 1 species
ACAACUGUUCUUCUACUUGAACUUCCCAUGUGGGAUGCAAGCUGCUGGUACCUUACAUGUACCUCUCUGUGCUGUGUUUUGCUGCUCAUGUAGAUGUCAGAAAUUGGAGUAACAUCUCACCCAGACAAGCAAGUGGAAUUAAUUCUUUAGUUUGGAAAAGAUGACUCUCUAUAUCAUACCAGAAAUAUAGUGUCAAAUACAGCAACAAUCCAGAAUUACAUUAUGUAUAUGUCAAAUAAGUUUCAAAAGUUGUCCACACUCUGAUGAAAUGUGUAAAGUGACUGCUGGAGUGACUGAACAUGUCAAAAAUAUCUACAAGGGACAGUCAGACUGCAUCUUCUCUCCUUCUGUUGCCAGCAGUCUGGAGCCCCACUGAUUGAUGUGUCUACCAUUAUAACGUCUCAGAGUGGGCCACAGUCCAGUGAGUAAGUGUACAAACUACUUGUAAUGAAAUAUGUAAAUUUAGAAAUGUGAGUGUCAAGUGUCAUUAUUCUGAGUCUAACUAGCUGAUGGAAAAUAGUUACAAAAUAAUAGGCCAUUUAUGAAACACAGAAGGGCUAGCUUCU